rnacentral:rRNA from 1 species
CCUACGGGAGGCAGCAGUGGGGAAUUUUCCGCAAUGGGCGAAAGCCUGACGGAGCAAUACCGCGUGAGGGAAGAAAGCCUACUGGGUUGUAAACCUCUUUUUUCAGGGAGGAAAAAAAUGACGUGUACCUGAAGAAUAAGCAUCGGCUAACUCCGUGCCAGCAGCCGCGGUAAGACGGAGGAUGCAAGUGUUAUCCGGAAUUACUGGGCGUAAAGCGUCUGUAGGUGGUUUAAUAAGUCAACUGUUAAAUCUUGAGGCUUAACUUCAAAACAGCAGUCGAAACUAUUAGACUAGAGUAUAGUAGGGGUAAAGGGAAUUUCCAGUGGAGCGGUGAAAUGCGUAGAUAUUGGAAAGAACACCGAUGGCGAAAGCACUUUACUGGGCUAUUACUAACACUCAGAGACGAAAGCUAGGGUAGCAAAUGGGAUUAGAUACCCCAGUAGUCCUAGCUGUAAACAAUGGAUACUAGAUGUUGAACAGAUCGACCUGUGCAGUAUUAAAGCUAACGCGUUAAGUAUCCCGCCUGGGAAGUAUGCUCGCAAGAGUGAAACUUAAAUGAAUUGACCGG